CCAGAUGUCUCUCCAUUCACACUCCUCCAGGACCAGAUGUCUCUCCACUCACUCUCCUCCAGGACCAGAUGUCUCUCCACUCACACUGCUCCAGGACCAGAUGUCUCUCCACUCACUCUCCUCCAGGACCAGAUGUCUCUCCACUCACACUCACACCGGAGCUGUGAAGAAAGAGAGGAGAACUGGUAGGAUGUGGAGGAUGUUUUUGUCAUUUUGAAGCUGAAGUCUCAGCCAGUGAGAGUGAAGAUGUUGGACUGAUGAAUGGAAGUAUGGAGGAAGAAAGAGAAGAACAAAAGGAUGGACUGACUAAUAGAAGUAAAGAAUAAAUAAAUAAAUGAUGUACAGCUCAACAGAGAAGAUGACUCAGUUUUAACAGUAGAGACGCUGACUGGCGUCAGUAGAAAUGUUGCUCCCCAUCAGAGCCAGCCAGAGGAGCCUGUUUGUGGGGGAGAAUGAACCAGAACAGAGAAGAUGACUGAGUUUUAACAGUAGAGACGCUAUCUGGUGGAUCUCAGAGUGAGACAGUUAAUGACUGCAUAUGAGAUACCUAUCUCCAUGAUGGGACAGACCUGGAACAUUGGGUUCAUCUGGACCUGGGAACUAUCCAGUGCAGGACUGAUGUUGUCCUUCAGAGCAAGGAACACUGGCCAACACCUUCCCUCCACCAAUCGAAGCGCAGUACAUACGUGUUUACCCACAAGUCUGCAGGGGCCACUGUAUCCUGCGCAUAUAGCUUAUAGACUGUGAGCUCACAGGUAGACCUAUUGGUUCCCACUAAAGUAACAGGUAUAGUGACUCAGGGAGCUAAGGACUUUGGCCGUGUCCAGUUUGUACUCUCAUAUAAACUGGCCUACAUCAAUGAUGGACUGAGGUGGACUAUGUACCCGGAGGAAGCACACCACAAGGACAAGGUGUAACAUUGACAACAACACCCACAGGAAGAACUUAAUCCAGCCGCCCCAUAUAUGGUCUCUUCCUCCGCCUCAUCCCCUGGUUCUGGUACAGACGUAUCACACUCAGGAUGGAGCUACUGGGCUGCACAGAGGACGACUGACCACCUCUCUCUCUCUCCCCCUCUCACUCUCUGGAAGUGGAGGUGUGGACACUGGUCAUUAGAGACACUGGAAACUAUAUUUGGACGUAAAGGUCACAAUAAGUGAUUUUGAUAUGAUUGGUUUACAGUGUGUUAUUUAUUUAUUGGAUUGUAAAGUACUGUACUUCUGCUCUUUAAUGUUUUCCCUUUACCGUGCUCCUGUGUGAUACCAUUUCCAACAGUUGUAAAGUAGUGUAGUGCCUAAAUAUUACAGGGUUAACUUUUCCAUGACCAACCUUCGACUAUUCCCUCCCUGACUACUAAGGGCCACAGUUUCUGAUGGAAAAACAGCCUUCUCAAAGCUCCACUAAAUAACCAUAACGUUUGAAAGUGGACAUCUUACAUUAAUCGUAAAUGAAAAGUUACAACAUUAUUCACGUUAUAAUGUGAGUAUCAAGGUAUUUCUUUAUGACAGAAAAUGUAAUCCAAAUUGUGCUUACCACUGUACAACAUAAACACUGGUAUAUUUAUUGAUACUGAUUUAAUACAAUAUUGAUUGUAGUAACAUAUACUGUAUCUGAUACAAAUUAACAAACCACUUUCUAUAUAGUAAAACAAGCAACAUAAUACAUGUAUUUCUCUCUGUGUCUGUUUGGGUAUCAAAUCAAAAGCGGUUGGAAUUAGGUGUUGAAUGGAUUGCUGCUGCUCUUAUACUCCUCAUGGUUCCUCCUGCUCCUCUGGUGAUGUAGCAGAGCCAUCUGCUGGUCAGAGAAGGUUACUGCAUGUCUCUUUAAAUCCUCGCCAGUUAGUCAUUUGGACAUCUCCAUUCAGACUGAUGCUCCAUCACUUCCUCUGGUCUUCUGAAACUGCUGUCCUAGAGUAUUAGUAGUAGUAUUAGUAGUAGUAUUAGUAGUAGUAGUGUGUGUGUGUGCAUGCAUGCAAGUGUGUAUUUGUGUGCCAGGUAAAGAGAGAGGCCAGCUGUUAGACCAGGUCACUGUUGAUAGCUCAGCUCUGUACUGUAGAGAAUCAUCCAAGACAAAACAAUCUCCAAACACUGAUGGCUUAUAAAGUUGUAUUUCUUUAUUUCAACGAUAUCAGUCUCAGGUGGUGUGAGAGUUCCAUUGGGAUAGAUUCCCACCAUUAAUAUGAGACAACACCGUGGUAACUGGAAGCUACAUCCAAAUCACUGAUUACUACCCACUGGGUAAUGGGUUCAACUAACAGACCAUAAUAAACACAUGUAUUACUCAUCAAUCCUUCACUGUGAUCUCUGAACCCUGAACCAAAUCUUGCGUGAGCAUCGCGUUGCCUGUCUGUCCACGAGCGAGUACUGUAGAGAUAUGCUUAAGGUUUCAACAUGGAACAUAACAUCAUAACAACAGUAUGCUGAUGAAUGUUGAUUGGUGAAGGUCAGCAAAUAGAAAAAAACAGUGUGACUGUGGUAAAAUAAUAACACUCCUACGUUGCUCUCACAGUGUAGGAUAAUACAGUGUGAUUCUCUCUAACUGGUCUCCUCUCUAACCCCUCCA